AGGUAAGCUACUAAGAGCGAAUGGUGGAUGCCUUGACUGGUAAAGGCGAUGAAGGACGUACUAGACUGCGAUAAGCUACGGGGAGCUGUCAAGAAGCUUUGAUCCGUAGAUUUCCGAAUGGGGCAACCCAAUGUAUAGAGAUAUACAUUACCUAUAUAGGAGCGAACGAGGGGAAUUGAAACAUCUUAGUACCCUCAGGAAAAGAAAUCAAUAGAGAUUGCGUCAGUAGCGGCGAGCGAAAGCGCAAGAGGGCAAACCCAGUGCUUGCACUGGGGGUUGUAGGACUGCAAUGUGCAAGAGCUGAGUUUAGCAGAACAUUCUGGAAAGUAUAGCCAUAGAGGGUGAUAGUCCCGUAUGCGAAAAACAAAGCUUAGCUAGCAGUAUCCUGAGUAGGGCGGGACACGAGGAAUCCUGUCUGAAUCCGGGUCGACCACGAUCCAACCCUAAAUACUAAUACCAGAUCGAUAGUGCACAAGUACCGUGAGGGAAAGGUGAAAAGAACUGAGGUGAUCAGAGUGAAAUAGAACCUGAAACCAUUUGCUUACAAUCAUUCAGAGCACUAUGUAGCAAUACAGUGUGAUGGACUGCCUUUUGCAUAAUGAGCCUGCGAGUUGUGGUGUCUGGCAAGGUUAAGCAAACGCGAAGCCGUAGCGAAAGCGAGUCUGAAUAGGGCGCUUAGUCAGAUGCUGCAGACCCGAAACGAAGUGAUCUAUCCAUGAGCAAGUUGAAGCUAGUGUAAGAACUAGUGGAGGACUGAACCCAUAGGCGUUGAAAAGCCCCGGGAUGACUUGUGGAUAGGGGUGAAAGGCCAAUCAAACUUCGUGAUAGCUGGUUCUCUCCGAAAUAUAUUUAGGUAUAGCGUUGUGUCGUAAUAUAAGGGGGUAGAGCACUGAAUGGGCUAGGGCAUACACCAAUGUACCAAACCCUAUCAAACUCCGAAUACCUUAUAUGUAAUCACAGCAGUCAGGCGGCGAGUGAUAAAAUCCGUCGUCAAGAGGGAAACAACCCAGACUACCAGCUAAGGUCCCUAAAUCUUACUUAAGUGGAAAACGAUGUGAAGUUACUUAAACAACCAGGAGGUUGGCUUAGAAGCAGCCAUCCUUUAAAGAAAGCGUAAUAGCUCACUGGUCUAGUGAUUUUGCGCGGAAAAUAUAACGGGGCUAAAGUAAGUACCGAAGCUGUAGACUUGCACACAACUUAGAUUAUUUAAGUUUAGAAUAUGAGAAACUAAGUUAUAUGUUUAGUUAUAUUUUUACUGAUUUUUAUAGAGUAAAGAUAGAAAUAAAACUUAGUAAAAUCAGUAAAAAUAUUCUUAGGCUAAAGUUAAGUAGUUUAAGUUGUGUGCAAGUGGUAGGAGAGCGUUCUAUUUGCGUC
rnacentral:rRNA from 1 species